rnacentral:rRNA from 1 species
AACGAACGCUGGCGGCAGGCUUAACACAUGCAAGUCGAACGAAGUCUUCGGACUUAGUGGCGGACGGGUGAGUAACACGUGGGAUCGUACCUUUAGGUUCGGAAUAACUCAGGGAAACUUGUGCUAAUACCGAAUGUGCCCUUCGGGGGAAAGAUUUAUCGCCUUUAGAGCGGCCCGCGUCUGAUUAGCUAGUUGGUGAGGUAAAGGCUCACCAAGGCGACGAUCAGUAGCUGGUCUGAGAGGAUGAUCAGCCACAUUGGGACUGAGACACGGCCCAAACUCCCACGGGAGGCAGCAGUGGGGAAUCUUGCGCAAUGGGCGAAAGCCUGACGCAGCCAUGCCGCGUGAAUGAUGAAGGUCUUAGGAUUGUAAAAUCCUUUCACCGGUGAAGAUAAUGACUGUAGCCGGAGAAGAAGCCCCGGCUAACUUCGUGCCAGCAGCCGCAGUAAAAC